AUGGCAGCAGCCGACGACUACGACGCCGCGGUCGCGCUGGCCGUGUUUCAUGCGGCCCGCGCCGGCGUCCGCGGCCUCGUCGAGUGCGGCAUCACCUCCGUGCCGCCGCUCUUCCUCGCACCCGAGCCCAGAACCAGCAGCCCCUCCCCACCGCCAGUCGAGAACGCGAUCCUCUUCACCAUCCCAAGCGUUGACCUCGCACUCCCGCCCUCGUCCAGCCUGCCGCUCAUCCGCGCCGCCGCGCGCUCGUGCGGCUUCUUCCAUGUCACCAACCACAGCGUCGACGCCGCCACCGUCGACUCGGCGGUGUCCGCCGUCCGGGCCUUCCACGAGCUGCCCCUCACCGUCCGUUCAGCGUUCUACACGCCCGCGUCCGUCGGGAGCGUCACCUACUCCACCAUCCCCAUCCAGCCUGGUAAAACCUCUGCCGGCCGUUUCCUUCCCUGGCGCGACACGCUCCAGGUCCGCUUCGGCCCUCCUCCAGCGCCUGACCUCGUCCAUCUGCCGCCGGCUUGCCGAGACGCGCUGCUCAAGUACCAGCUGCUCACGACGGAGCUCGGGAAGAAGAUGGCCGGGCUGCUGUCGGAGGCGCUCGGCGUCGGCGCGGAGCGGCUGGAGAGGGCGAUGCAGGUGGAAGGCUUGCUGAUGGCGUGCCACUACUACCCGCCGUGCCCGGAGCCGGCGCGGGUGGUGGGCAGUCUGGAGCACACGGACCCCAGCCUUUUCACCGUCCUGGCACAGGACGGGGUCGGAGGGCUUCAGGUGCGCCUCCACGACGGACGGUGA
rnacentral:rRNA from 1 species